CCGGGAAGACCCCCAGUGGCGAAGGGCGUUCGGCUAGAANGAGCCCGGACGGUGAGGGAUGAAAGCUGGGGGAGCGAACCGGAUUAGAUACCCGGGUAGUCCCAGCUGUAAACGAUGCAGGCUAGGUGUUUGGACGGCCACGUGGCCGUUCUAGUGCCGCAGNGAAGCUGUUAAGCCUGCCGCCUGGGGGAGUACGAUCGCAAGGUGGAAACUUAAAGGAAUUGGCGGGGGAGGCACCACAAGGGGUGGAAGCUUGGCGGUUUAAUUGGAGUCAACUCCGGAAAUCUCACCGGGAGCGACAGCAGGUUGAAGGCCAGAUUAGAGGUCUUGCCAGACGAGUCUGAGAGGAGGUGCAUGGCCGUCGCCAGUUCGUGCCGUGAGGGUGUCCUGUUAAGUCAGGCAACGAUCGAGACCCGCGUCCUCUGUUGCAACUAGCCUAGAGCUAGGCACACUGAGGAGACCGCCGCUGAUAAAGCGGAGGAAGGAGCGGGCCACGGCAGGUCAGUAUGCCCCGAAUCUCCCGGGCCACACGCGAGCUGCAAUGGCAGGUACAAUGGGUUCCGACCUCGUAAGGGGAAGGCAAUCUCGAAACCCUGCCGUAGUUGGGAUCGAGGGCUGUAACCCGCCCUCGUGAACAUGGAAUCCCUAUUAAUCGCGUGUCAUCAGCGCGCGGUGAAUACGUCCCUGCUCCUUGCACACACCG
rnacentral:rRNA from 1 species